UACGAGUGGUGCAAGCGUCCUUCGGAAUCAUUGGGCGUAAAGGGUGUGUAGACGGCAUGUUAAGUCAAUUGUUAAAUUCUCCGGCCCAACCGGAGGUCAGCAGUAGAAACUGGCGUGCUCGAGGGUGGAAGAGAGAAGUGGAAUUCUCGGAGCAGCGGUAAAAUGCGUAGAUCUCGAGAGGAACACCAAUGGCGAAGGCAGCCACUUGGUCCAUUUCUGACGUUGAAACACGAAAGCGUGGGGAGCAAACAGG
rnacentral:rRNA from 1 species